GGAUGAAUAGCUCAGCGGCAGAGCGUUCCCUUGUUAAGGGAAGGGUCGAAAGUUCGAAUCUUUCUUCAUCCGCAA
rnacentral:tRNA from 1 species